rnacentral:lncRNA from 1 species
UUCCCAGUCUAGGGGUUGAAUCAGAGCUGUAGCUGCUGACCUACACCACAGCCACAGCAACGCCAGAUCCAAGCUGAGUCUUCCACCUACACCACAGCUCAUGGCAACUCCGAAUCUUUAACCCCUGAGAUGGGCCAGAGAUAGAGCCUUACGGAUACUAGUUGGAUUCAUUUCUGCUGAGCCAUGGUGCAGGAACUCCCCAUUCAAAUUUAAACAUAUAUUUACAAGCAAGUGGGAUAUAAGAUACAACUCUGUGUACAAAAUAAUAUUCACAAUAAUUUGGAGCGUGAUAAUAUUAGUGUGUUUAAUAAUUUUCAGUGCGAUAACAUUAGUGUGUUUUUCCUUCAUGAAUGAUUUUCUUCAGUGUUCCACCAAGGAUGUCUGUCCCUACACAUAUGAGUUACCUCAUGCUUGGAGGUAAGGGGAACACAGAGGAACCUGAAAACCAAAAGGGCAUAUUCUUUUUUUUUUUUUCUUUCUUUUUGUAGCCAGACCUGUAACAUAUGGAAGUUCCCAGGAGGCUAGGGGUCCACUCAGAUCUGCAGCUGCCAGUCUAUGCCACAGCCACAACAACAACAGACCUGAGCCUCAUCUUGGGUUCUUCCUGCCACUAGACUGGACUAAAGACUCAGGUUGGGAGAAGAGAAGAGGAGGGACCCCAUGACAGAAACAGAGAUGGAACAACCCCGGACAUCUGCCUGGAGCAGGUGCUAUCAAUCACCAGCUAAGUGGAAACCUGGCUCCCUCACUGCCAUCUGCUGAUAGUGACCAAUCAAUAGCAACUUCCACAUCACCCAGGAGUUGCCCAGGAGAGGAGGUGUUCAUUUCAUCUCUGUCCCAAGAGUUUUCCCAGCUCCUCAUCCAACCCACUCCAUGUCAGAAACGGUCCAGAGCACUUGAAGGGCCACACACACACACACACAUACCCCCCACACACACACACAUACACACCUGUACUAAGUAGAAAAUAGUGUCCUGCAGACACAAGGGUAGUGUAGGGGUUAUCCCCACACAUGUUUGAGGUGAGACUAGAUAGAACCAGUAUAAAAUUUCCCACCAAGCUAGCACUGGGGCACAUGGGACACUCAUAAACACACACACAGAUAUUCACCUCCAUGCCUACCCCUUAUAUUUAUACCCCUUGGACUUCAUAUAGAGCUUCACAAACUACAUUAAUAAACCAAAGGCAAGUUUUUAGAGAGAAAAAAACUCACCUUCUUCAAAAAUACAAUAGAAUAUUUACUCUGAAGAACUGACUUAGAAUAAUAUCAAGGUCUCAUCUGAAGUAGUUAUUAUAAUAAAAAUUCUGAGUACAUCCUCCUUAUUUAUCAAAUGUUUGGCACACUUUAUUGAGAUCAAGGAGCACUUCUGGAGCCAGAGGAUGCCGGGCACAGAAGGGCUAAACACUGACACCCACUGACUUGGUGGGGGAGGGGGUGUUGGAUGGUGUUAGACAAUGCCCGAGCAUCAGUGUUUCUGCCCAACAAGGGAUCUGCUUUCUAUUUAUUCAUACUCCAAUCCUUCUGGCAAGAGGCAAGCAGGAUUAAACCCAUUUCACAUCUCUGCAGCAAGAGCUGAGCACAAUAAUGACUGACCAAAGCCUGGACCAUAAAGAUGAGGUAAAGGCAGAGGGGGCAAAAUCCUGCAAGUAUAUGAACAGCCCAAGUCCUAAGGGAGUAGGGAAAAUGAAGUGAGCUGCACAGCCACGCACGUUGGAGAAAUCAAACAUCACUCUUUCACUUGACCAUUAAUUCCUAGGCACGCUCAUGCUUCAGGAAUACUGCACUGUGGGAACAGAAGUCACACCAUCAGCAGCUGUUGCCCUCAUAGAGGUUAGUAUCAAGUACAAACGAAACAGUCAGCAAAGCAAUUACAAUACUGUGGAAUAUAUGCUGGUGGGCAGGGCAGGCCUCCCUGGAGCGCCCUGUUAUGGAAACACCCUGGAGAUAGACAGGACAUAGUGCAGGGUGGAGAGUGGCAGGUAAGGACACUUACCUUCAGAAGUAACUUCUAAGCUGACGCCUAAAGGAUAAGUAAGUGUUUUGCAAGUAAAGGCGAUUUGAUGAGUGAAUCAGGCAAUUGGAACACUCAGAGCUUCGACACUAGAGGACCAAGAGGAAGAGCAAAUCUGUGGACAUAUAUGGUUAUGUCCCACAAUUUUGUGGGUUUGAUGUUGAUGCCUUUGUUGCUGUUGUUCAUUACGGCCCACGAUGAAGGUUUCACAUGAAAAUUCAGAUUUCUGACUUCUCUUGAAAUUCCCUCUAGUAACAGUUGGCUAGAACUGAGCAUGAUUGCUCCUUUAAACUGGGCCUGAUUUGCCCCA